UACGGAGGUCUCAAGCGUUGUUCGGAUUCAUUGGGCGUAAAGGGUGCGUAGGCGGCGCGGUAAGUCGGGUGUGAAAUCUCGGGGCUUAACUCCGAAACUGCAUUCGAUACUGCCGUGCUUGAGGACUGGAGAGGAGACUGGAAUUUACGGUGUAGCGGUGAAAUGCGUAGAUAUCGUAAGGAAGACCAGUGGCGAAGGCGGGUCUCUGGACAGUUCCUGACGCUGAGGCACGAAGGUCAGGGGAGCAAACGGG
rnacentral:rRNA from 1 species